rnacentral:rRNA from 1 species
AGCAGCCGCGGUAAUUCCAGCUCCAAUAGCGUAUAUUAAAGUUGUUGCAGUUAAAAAGCUCGUAGUUGAAUUUCGGGGUCAGUAGGUUGGUCAUGCCUUCGGUAUGUACUGGUCUCACUGAUUCCUCCUUCUUGAAGAUCCGUAAUGUCAUUAAUUUGGUGUUGCGGGGAAUCAGGACUGUUACUUUGAAAAAAUUAGAGUGUUUAAAGCAGGCUAACGCUUGAAUACAUUAGCAUGGAAUAAUGAAAUAGGACGUUUGAUCCUAUUUUGUUGGUUUCUAGGAUUGACGUAAUGAUUAAUAGGGAUAGUUGGGGGCAUUAGUAUUCAAUUGUCAGAGGUGAAAUUCUUGGAUUUAUUGAAGACUAACUACUGCGAAAGCAUUUGCCAAGGAUGUUUUCAUUAAUCAAGAACGAAAGUUAGGGGAUCGAAGACGAUCAGAUACCGUCGUAGUCUUAACCAUAAACUAUGCCGACUAGGGAUCGGAUGAUGUUAAUUUUUUAAUGACUCAUUCGGCGCCUUACG